GUGCCUUUCAAUUUGGUAGCUUGUAUCUAUGAUCUUCGUCGUGUUCAUUGCUUUUAAUUUUCUGUUUGGACUGAUAUAAUGUUAUUUGCCUAAUACUAUAUAAGUACAACUAUCUUUUGUUUUGCUGUGAUGCAUAUAAUUAUUUUUGAUUAGGCAAAUAGAACUCUGAAAUAUGCAAAAAAGAGGAAAGGGUUGAGAAAAAAAGGGGGUGAGGUGUGCUUGUUUGAUUUAAAUUAGGGGUUAGAAUUUGGUAAUAUGCUCAAGAUUAGGUCUCUGAGAUAAUAUGGGCAGAAUUUAAUAAUCAUUUCUUUGGACUUGAAAUUUACAUUGUUUUGC
rnacentral:misc_RNA from 1 species